ACUGAACCAGUUUUAUUUCUAUUUAUCUUUCUCGAUCUUCUUCUUCUCCUUCUAAUUCUCUUUAAUUUUUCAAUCUCCUUCUCCCUCACAAUCACAAAGAACACAUGCAACAUCUCGAUUUUCUGGGUUUUUGAAGACCACAUGCAACAUGCAACAUCUCGAUUUUCUGGGUUUUUGAAGACCACAUGCAACACCGAUUUGUAUGUUAUUUAGAUCUGAAAUCGAAGAAGCAAGAUACAAGCAAGAAUGAAUGAUUUUUUUUUUUUUUUUUUUGAAUUUAUAUUGUAAUUUUUUUUUUAAAUUUAUAUUGUAAUUUUUCUUUUAUAUGCUGUAAUCAAAGUUUUUAUAUGUUGUAAUUUUUUUUUCAUCAUAUAUUGCAAAUUUUCGAUUCUUGUUGAUA